GAAGAAUACCAAAGCCAAGAUCUAACUAGGAUUAAAUCUAACACCUUAAGAUGACAAACCUUCUUCUCAUUGAAAGUGGUUUCAUUCCUCAUCAAUCAAAUAGACCACAUAACACAGACCCAAAGGGUUCUCCACAUUUUCCUCCCUUUUUCUGGUUUCCAAUAAGAAUCAUGAAGAAGAAGAAAAUCCUCAAUAGAUUGCGGAAUUAUGAGAGGGAUCUUUAACCAAGCAUAUAAUUCAGACCACAACAUAAUAACCCAAUUACAAGAUAACAACAUAUGUUUAAGGAUUAUAUUAUCUAAAGAUAAUUAUUAGGUGUUCCUACCUGAAUAGCAUUUUUUUUGCAUGUGAGAGAGACGAUCAAUCGACUAAAAUAUAUGGUUUAUAUUUUAUUUCCUUUUAAAAAUUUCACGUGGCCUUUUCUUUUCAUGUAAUAUUCCCAACAAAAAAUGAAUUUGCUUGAAAAAUAGCUUAAUCAUCUUCUCCGUUGAAACCUAAUGCACACUUUUCACACCACAAACACUCUUCUACUCAACAAUAAUUACCAAAAUCUCUAAAACCAAGAUGAACCAAGACCUGUAAGAUUAAAAAAUGCGAAUUCACAAAUGGGCUUCCUUCAACUCUCCUCUUUCUCACUCAAUUCCUUAACCCUUUUGUGGCAUCUGUGAAAUUGGAAGAGCGAAUCAACACGGUGAAGAAAAUCCAGAGGCAGAAAAUGAACGUACGGGUCGAGUAUCGACGAACAUAACAUGUAUUUGAUGAACGUGAUUGAAACUUAUACACACACGUUCCUCACCACAUACAUCUUUUAGGGCAUUGAUUAAGAAAUUA
rnacentral:lncRNA from 1 species